CGCCGUGCGGGGUGCUACACAUGCAAGUCGACGAUGAAGCCCUUCGGGGUGGAUUAGUGGCGAACGGGUGAGUAACACGUGGGCAAUCUGCCCUUCACUCUGGGACAAGCCCUGGAAACGGGGUCUAAUACCGGAUAACACUCUGUCCCGCAUGGGACGGGGUUGAAAGCUCCGGCGGUGAAGGAUGAGCCCGCGGCCUAUCAGCUUGUUGGUGGGGUAAUGGCCUACCAAGGCGACGACGGGUAGCCGGCCUGAGAGGGCGACCGGCCACACUGGGACUGAGACACGGCCCAGACUCCUACGGGAGGCAGCAGUGGGGAAUAUUGCACAAUGGGCGAAAGCCUGAUGCAGCGACGCCGCGUGAGGGAUGACGGCCUUCGGGUUGUAAACCUCUUUCAGCAGGGAAGAAGCGAAAGUGACGGUACCUGCAGAAGAAGCGCCGGCUAACUACGUGCCAGCAGCCGCGGUAAUACGUAGGGCGCAAGCGUUGUCCGGGAAUUAUUGGGCGUAAAGAGCUCGUAGGCGGCUUGUCACGUCGGAUGUGAAAGCCCGGGGCUUAACCCCGGGUCUGCAUUCGAUACGGGCUAGCUAGAGUGUGGUAGGGGAGAUCGGAAUUCCUGGUGUAGCGGUGAAAUGCGCAGAUAUCAGGAGGAACACCGGUGGCGAAGGCGGAUCUCUGGGCCAUUACUGACGCUGAGGAGCGAAAGCGUGGGGAGCGAACAGGAUUAGAUACCCUGGUAGUCCACGCCGUAAACGUUGGGAACUAGGUGUUGGCGACAUUCCACGUCGUCGGUGCCGCAGCUAACGCAUUAAGUUCCCCGCCUGGGGAGUACGGCCGCAAGGCUAAAACUCAAAGGAAUUGACGGGGGCCCGCACAAGCAGCGGAGCAUGUGGCUUAAUUCGACGCAACGCGAAGAACCUUACCAAGGCUUGACAUAUACCGGAAAGCAUCAGAGAUGGUGCCCCCCUUGUGGUCGGUAUACAGGUGGUGCAUGGCUGUCGUCAGCCUCGUGUCGUGAGAAUGUUGGGUUAAGUCCCGCAACGAGCGCAACCCUUGUUCUGUGUUGCCAGCAUGCCCUUCGGGGUGAUGGGGACUCACAGGAGACUGCCGGGGUCAACUCGGAGGAAGGUGGGGACGACGUCAAGUCAUCAUGCCCCUUAUGUCUUGGGCUGCACACGUGCUACAAUGGCCGGUACAAUGAGCUGCGAUGCCGCGAGGCGGAGCGAAUCUCAAAAAGCCGGUCUCAGUUCGGAUUGGGGUCUGCAACUCGACCCCAUGAAGUCGGAGUUGCUAGUAAUCGCAGAUCAGCAUUGCUGCGGUGAAUACGUUCCCGGGCCUUGUACACACCGCCCGUCACGUCACGAAAGUCGGUAACACCCGAAGCCGGUGGCCCAACCCCUUGUGGGAGGGAGCUUCGAAGGUGACCGCGAGUG
rnacentral:rRNA from 1 species